rnacentral:rRNA from 1 species
UACGAGGGGGGCGAGCGUUGUUCGGAAUUAUUGGGCGUAAAGGGUGCGUAGGCGGCUUGGUAAGUCUUGUGUGAAAUCUCCAGGCUCAACUUGGAGUCUGCACGAGAAACUGCCGGGCUUGAGUGUGGGAGAGGUGAGUGGAAUUCCUGGUGUAGCGGUGAAAUGCGUAGAUAUCAGGAGGAACACCUGUGGCGAAAGCGGCUCACUGGACCACAACUGACGCUGAUGCACGAAAGCUAGGGGAGCAAACAGG